AAUAACCAUUUCCAAAAUAAGUGUAUAUUUUUGCAUGAAUUCCAUAGCUGCGUCAGGUUUCUCAGAGAUCAGAAUGAAAGAGGCAGAAAAAAGAAGUCCCUCCGAGUACGUAACAAAGAACAUACCGAGUGUGGAAAGGAGAUUGCAUGAAGCUGCGUCAGGUUCCUCGGAGAUCAGAUUGAAAGAGGAAGAAAAAAGAAGUCCCCCAGAGUACUUAACAGGUUCCUCGGAGAUCAGAUUGAAA